rnacentral:tRNA from 1 species
ACUGUCUUGGCAGAAUUAUGCACUGGACUUAGGAUCCAAUAAUGUGGGUUUAUAAUCCCAUAGAUAGUA